CACGUAGGCACCAAGCGUUAUCCGGAUUUAUUGGGCGUAAAGAGCUCGUAGGCGGUUCGGUAAGUCGGGUGUGAAAACUCUGGGCUCAACCCAGAGAGGCCACCCGAUACUGCUGUGACUAGAGUGCGGUAGGGGAGCGGGGAAUUCCUGGUGUAGCGGUGAAAUGCGCAGAUAUCAGGAGGAACACCAGCGGCGAAGGCGCCGCUCUGGGCCGUAACUGACGCUGAUGCGCGAAAGCGUGGGGAGCAAACAGG
rnacentral:rRNA from 1 species